UUUUUUUACACCAGGUAAAUACAACAAUGAAGUUCAUUUUAUAAUUCCACACUUACCAACUGGAAUAAGACUACAUUGGCACAUUCAUAAUUUGAAGUUCGAAAGUUGAGAGAAGACAACAUUGGCACAUACUAUAAACUACUACAAAGUGGAAUUGCAUUGCUACUACGUUACGCUACAUAAACACAUGCCGUACUACAUACUACUACAACAAAUCAAGUUUCACAUUUCAAGUCCUUCUCAUCUGCCGAAACUCGUGUCCCCUUGUGCAUCUUUAUGUUUAGGCAAAUCUCCAAGUCUUUCUCAUCCAUUAGCUUAGCCAGCAAUUUCAACAUAUGCGACAAAUCAUCCGCAUGCUCAGCUUCGUUUAUAAUACCACUUGAGUCCCCAUCGUCAUGCAAUGUACAAUUUUCAUCAUGCUUAUUCUUACACCAUUUGAAGAACUUGCAGUUGUGGGUACAACAAUGAAACAAUAGCCAUUUAUUUUCAUUGUUCUAUUCCACUUCCAUCCACUUGAUGAAUCCUACACCGCAGUUGGGGCAUUCCGACAUCAUAUGUCCCGACAUUCUACAACAAUGACAAAUUCCCCUAUUCUUUCUCGGCAUCCAAGUGUCCUACCUCAACCACAUAAAAGAACCAAUGAAUGGUGCAACUAAUUCAGUGUCUAAUUCAAAUUAUAAGAGAAUUCUACAUUAAAGUUCAACUGGCAGUAUUCUCACAACACAUAAUUUUCGAAAUAUCAAAACAAUCUCUGGGGUCAUAUUUCAAUAUAAAACACUCUUCCAUCUUCUCAAAAUUUUUACUAUGCUCUCUGUUUCUCAUUCAAAAAAUAGAUCUUCAAGGAAUGCCACUUUUUCUGAGACAUAGGGGAAAGCCAAGAAUCAUGUAGUUCUAUUAUUUGCUACCAACAUUUGAAAUCCCAAAAACAUUUCACAACAAAAUCAUGUAGUUCUUCUCUACCCCAAUUAUUUGAGUACCAAUUAUUAUUAUUUUUUUUUCAAAUUACCUAAAUUUUUACGUGUUUAAUUUGAAAAAAACAAAUGGUUAUAUUACUGCAAGAAUUGCAUUGCCCAGAAACAUAGCGCAAUUGCAGCUAUUCACCCAUCAUCAUUCUCACAUAUAUGGACUAAUAGUAUAACAAGAAGACAACACAAAAUUUCACAUACAGAAAAGGCUAAACUGAAUCAAUUUUAGAACCAUAAAACACAUUCACAAAAAAAUGGAGGUAUUCCAUCGGUUGUCUGUUGCCAACGGAGAGGUUGUAACGAUGGGGCACUUCAGUGGUCGCCUUGAAAAUCGCAUCAACUGGAGGAUAGUGUUCUUAACAGGAAAUCGAGCAGAGAUAAUGAGAAGUAUUGCUAGUGUUUUCCCGGCCAGAGGCAAGGUCGACGAUCACUUGGAGAUUUGGAGAGGACGACUUUGCAAUGGCUUCAAUGGAGAGAAUUUGGGGUUAGGUUUAGAGUCGGGUCUGUACAUGAUUUAGAAUAACCCGUUUUUGGCUUGCUCCACUUAUGAGCUGUAUUUUUUUUUCUUUCCUUUUUCCACCUCCGCACUAUAAACUUGUGUUAA
rnacentral:lncRNA from 1 species